UCCGCAACGAGCGCAACCCCUAUUGUUAGUUGCCAUCAUUCAGUUGGGCACUCUAGCGAGACUGCCGGUAAUAAACCGGAGGAAGUGGGGAUGACGUCAAAUCAUCAUGCCCCUUAUGACCUGGACUACACACGUGCUACAAUGGUUGGUACAACGAGUUGCGAGUCGGUGACGGCGAGCUAAUCUCUUAAAACCAAUCUCAGUUCGGAUUGUAGGCUGCAACUCGCCUACAUGAAGUCGGAAUCGCUAGUAAUCGCGGAUCAGCACGCCGCGGUGAAUACGUUCCCGGGCCUU
rnacentral:rRNA from 1 species